AUGGACAUGAGUGCCCAUGCUCAAUUCCUUGGGCUCCUGUUGCUCUUUCUUUCAGGUGCCAGAGGUGACAUUCAGAUGACCCAGUCUCCAUCCUCCCUCUCUGCAUCUGUGGGAGACAGAGUCACUAUCACUUGUAGGGCCAGUCAGGACAUUAGCAACUAUUUAAACUGGUUCCAGCAAAAACCAGGGAAACCUCCGAAGCGCCUGAUCUAUUAUACAGAUAGGUUAGAUGAUGGGGUCCCAUCGAGGUUCAGUGGCAGUGGGUCAGGGACAGAUUAUUCUCUCACCAUCAGCAGCCUGGAGUCUGAAGAUAUUGCAACCUAUAACUGUCUACAGUAUAGUAAGUUUCCUCCCACAGUGAUACAAGUCAUAAUAUAA